rnacentral:rRNA from 1 species
GUAGGUGGCAAGCGUUGUCCGGAAUUAUUGGGGCGUAAAGCGCGCGCAGGCGGUUCUUUAAGUCUGAUGUGAAAGCCCACGGGCUCAACCGUGGAGGGUCAUUGGAAACUGGAGAACUUGAGUACAGAGGAGGAAAGCGGAAUUCCACGUGUAGCGGUGAAAUGCGUAGAGAUGUGGAGGAACACCAGUGGCGAAGGCGGCUUUCUGGUCUGUAACUGACGCUGAGGCGCGAAAGCGUGGGGAGCAAACAGGAUUAGAUACCCUGGUAGUCCACGCCGUAAACGAUGAGUGCUAAGUGUUAGGGGGUUUCCGCCCCUUAGUGCUGCAGCUAACGCAUUAAGCACUCCGCCUGGGGAGAACGGCCGCAAAGGCUGA